GCGAGUAACACGUUGGAACCUGCCCCAAACUCAGGGAUAACAUCUAGAAAUAGGUGCUAAUACCGGAUAGUCCCGCAAGGGUAAAGAUUUAUCGGUUUGGGAGGGUCCUGCGCAAUAUCAGCUAGUUGGUAAGGUAACGGCUUACCAAGGCUAUGACGUUUAACUGGUCUGAGAGGAUGAUCAGUCGCGAUGGGACUGAGAUACGGCCCAUACUCCUACGGGAGGCAGCAGUAAGGAAUCUUCCGCAAUGGACGAAAGUCUGACGGAGCAACACCGCGUGGUUGAUGACGCCCCUUGGGGUGUAAAGACCUUUUCUGAGUGAAGAACUUUGACGGUAACUUAGGAAUAAGCACCGGCUAACUCCGUGCCAGCAGCCGCGGUAAUACGGAGGGUGCAAGCGUUACCCGGAAUCAUUGGGC
rnacentral:rRNA from 1 species